rnacentral:rRNA from 1 species
GACGAACGCUGGCGGCGUGCCUAAUACAUGCAAGUAGAACGCAGUUGAGAACGGGUGCGUAACGCGUAGGUAACUGCCUCAUCGCGGGGGAUAACUAUUGAUAACGCUAGCUAAUAGCUCAUACUGUGAGAUGGACCUGCGUUGUAUUGGCUAGUUGGUGAGGUAAAGGCUCACCAAGGCGACGAUCCAUAGCCGACCUGAGAGGGUGAUCGGCCACACUGGGACUGAGAAACGGCCCAGACUCCUACGGGAGGCAGCAGUAGGAAUCUUUGGCAAAUGGAGGAAGGUUGGCCGGAGAACGCCGGGGGGAGUAAGAAGGUUUUUGGGUCCGUAAGCUCUGUUUGUUGGGAAGCGGUAUCUAACCAGAAAGCGACGGCUAACUACGUGCCAGCAGCCGCGGUAAUUC